CGACGGCGCCCUCGCCCGCGCCGCCUGCUAUGGGUGUGCUUACAUCGACGGAACUCAACUUCCUCGUCUUCCGCUAUCUCCAGGAGUCAGGUACUUGCGCCAUUGCAUCCCCUUUCUUCUGCUCCGCAUCUUGACUGCUUGUGCCGGGAGAACUUUCCUCUUUUUUUUGAACUAAUUAGGCUUUGGAGCUUCGCUGAUGUGGGGCGGCGAGUUCCUCGGUUGGAUCGUGGUGGA
rnacentral:lncRNA from 7 species